AGCAACACAGGCACACACAGAGAGAGAGAGCAAGCAAGAGUUCGUGGGAGCUGCAGCAAUGGCGACGCGUCGCCUCUCUUCCUGCUGCCUUCUGCUCGCCGUGCUCCUGGUGGCGGCGGCGGCGGCCACGGCCUUCGACGAGGCGGCGGCGGCUGCCGGCGUCGGGCUGGGUCACGGGGCGCGUUUCGCGCGAAAGCCUGGGCGUGCUGUCGCGGAGAUGCCUCAGCCGGAACCCAAACCUGAACCGAAACCAGAGCCCAUGCCACAUCCUGAGCCUAAACCUGAACCAAAGCCCAUGCCGGAGCCAAAGCCAAUGCCACAUCCAGAGCCGAAACCUGAGCCCAUGCCUCACCCUGAACCGAAACCUGAGCCAAAGCCCGAACCUAAGCCUGAGCCAAAACCCAUGCCCGAGCCAAAACCUGAACCAAAACCCAUGCCCGAGCCUAAGCCGGAACCUAAGCCUGAGCCAAAACCUGAACCAAAACCUAAGCCUGAGCCAAAACCUGAACCAAAACCUAAGCCUGAGCCAAAACCCAUGCCCGAGCCGAAACCUGAACCAAAACCCAUGCCCGAGCCUAAGCCUGAGCCAACACCCGUGCCCGAGCCAAAGCCGGAACCUAAGCCCGAGCCGAAACCCAUGCCCGAGCCAAAACCCAAGCCCGAGCCAAAGCCGGAACCCAAGCCCGAGCCAAAGCCGGAACCUAAGCCCAAGCCGGAACCCAAGCCCGAGCCAAAGCCGGAACCUAAGCCCGAGCCGAAACCCAAGCCCGAGCCAAAGCCGGAACCCAAGCCCGAGCCAAAGCCCGAACCGAAGCCAAAGCCGAAGCCGGAACCUAAACCCGAGCCCAAGCCUGAACCAGAGCCGAAGCCGUAUCCUAAGCCGGAACCAAAACCCAAGCCAGAACCUAAGCCAGAACCCAAGCCAGAACCUAAGCCCGAACCCAAGCCCAAACCCGAGCCCAAGC
rnacentral:lncRNA from 1 species